rnacentral:rRNA from 1 species
AGUCCUUCGGGACUGGGGAAAGCGGCGAACGGGUGAGUAACACGUGGGUAAUCUGCCCUCGGCACUGGGAUAGCCCGGGGAAACCCGGAUUAAUACCGGAUAGCCUUUCGAGCCUUUCGGCUCGUCAGAAAAGGUGGCUUCGGCUUCCGGCUGAGGAUGAGCCCGCGGCGGAUUAGCUUGUUGGUGGGGUAAUGGCUCACCAAGGCGACGAUCGGUAGCUGGUCUAAGAGGAUGAUCAGCCUCACUGGGACUGAGACACGGCCCAGACUCCUACGGGAGGCAGCAGUGGGGAAUAUUGGACAAUGGGCGCAAGCCUGAUCCAGCAAUGCCGCGUGAGUGAUGAAGGCCUUAGGGUUGUAAAGCUCUUUUACCCGGGAUGAUAAUGACAGUACCGGGAGAAUAAGCCCCGGCUAACUCCGUGCCAGCAGCCGCGGUAAUACGGGGGGGGCAAGCGUUGUUCGGAAUUACUGGGGCGUAAAGGGCUCGUAGGCGGCCAACUAAGUCAGACGUGAAAUCCCUCGGCUUAACCGGGGAACUGCGUCUGAUACUGGAUGGCUUGAGUUUGGGAGAGGGAUGCGGAAUUCCAGGUGUAGCGGUGAAAUGCGUAGAUAUCUGGAGGAACACCGGUGGCGAAGGCGGCAUCCUGGACCAACACUGACGCUGAGGAGCGAAAGCCAGGGGAGCAAACGGGAUUAGAUACCCCGGUAGUCCUGGCCCUAAACGAUGAAUGCUUGGG